AUUGAACGCUGGCGGCAUGCUUUACACAUGCAAGUCGAACGGCAGCGCGGGCUUCGGCCUGGCGGCGAGUGGCGAACGGGUGAGUAAUGCAUCGGAACGUGCCCAGUAGUGGGGGAUAGCCCGGCGAAAGCCGGAUUAAUACCGCAUACGACCUGAGGGUGAAAGCGGGGGACCGAAAGGCCUCGCGCUAUUGGAGCGGCCGAUGUCGGAUUAGCUAGUUGGUGGGGUAAAGGCUUACCAAGGCGACGAUCCGUAGCUGGUCUGAGAGGACGACCAGCCACACUGGGACUGAGACACGGCCCAGACUCCUACGGGAGGCAGCAGUGGGGAAUUUAGGACAAUGGGGGCAACCCUGAUCCAGCCAUGCCGCGUGCGGGAAGAAGGCCUUCGGGUUGUAAACCGCUUUUGUUCGGGAAGAAAUCCUCUGGGCUAAUACCCCGGGGGGAUGACGGUACCGGAAGAAUAAGCACCGGCUAACUACGUG
rnacentral:rRNA from 1 species